rnacentral:rRNA from 1 species
CAGCCGUAAACUAUGCGCGUUAGGUGUACUGGUGACCACGAGUCACCGGGUGCCGAAGGGAAACCGUGAAACGUGCCGCCUGGGAAGUACGGUCGCAAGGCUGAAACUUAAAGGAAUUGGCGGGGGAGCACAACAACGGGUGGAGCUUGCGGUUUAAUUGGAUUCAACGCCGGAAAUCUUACCGGGACCGACAGCAACAUGAAGGCCAGGCUGAAGACUUUGCCGGAUUAGCUGAGAGGAGGUGCAUGGCGUAGUCGUGU